AUUGAACGCUGGCGGCAGGCCUAACACAUGCAAGUCGAGCGGAUGAAGGGAGCUUGCUCCUGGAUUCAGCGGCGGACGGGUGAGUAAUGCCUAGGAAUCUGCCUGGUAGUGGGGGAUAACGUCCGGAAACGGGCGCUAAUACCGCAUACGUCCUGAGGGAGAAAGGGGGGGAUCUUCGGACCUCACGCUAUCAGAUGAGCCUAGGCCGGAUUAGCUAGUUGGUGGGGUAAAGGCCUACCAAGGCGACGAUCCGUAACUGGUCUGAGAGGAUGAUCAGUCACACUGGAACUGAGACACGGUCCAGACUCCUACGGGAGGCAGCAGUGGGGAAUAUUGGACAAUGGGCGAAAGCCUGAUGCAGCCAUGCCGCGUGUGUGAAGAAGGUCUUCGGAUUGUAAAGCACUUUAAGUUGGGAGGAAGGGCAGUAAGUUAAUACCUUGCUGUUUUGACGUUACCAACAGUAUAAGCCCCGGCUAACUUCGUG
rnacentral:rRNA from 1 species